rfam:Haemonchus placei strain MHpl1 genome assembly, scaffold: HPLM_scaffold0003812
UUGGCGGAUAGGAACCAGUUAGUGCCUGUGCGUUGAUUGGGCCGAAAACCGCCAAUAUCAUUUGUUCGCGAUUAAGGUCGUAUGUGCGUCUUUUUGAAGCAUGUAUAUCACCAUUGUGGACGACAGCU